UACAGAGGGGGCAAGCGUUGUUCGGAAUUACUGGGCGUAAAGAGUGCGUAGGUGGUGCCCUAAGUCUGUUGUGAAAUCUCCCGGCUUAACUGGGAGGGUGCGGUGGAAACUGGGGUGCUUGAGUGUGGGAGAGGUAAGCGGAAUUCCUGGUGUAGCGGUGAAAUGCGUAGAUAUCAGGAGGAACACCGGUGGUGUAGACGGCUUACUGGACCACGACUGACACUGAGGCACGAAAGCGUGGGUAGCAACAGG
rnacentral:rRNA from 1 species